GACGUAGGGCGCGAGCGUUGUCCGGAUUUCUUGGGCGUAAAGAGCUCGUAGGCGGCUCGUUGCGUCGGCUGUGAAAACCCGCGGCUCAACUGUGGGCUUGCAGCUGAUACGGGCGGGCUGGAGUUCGGUAGGGGAGACUGGAAUUCCUGGUGUAGCGGUGAAAUGCGCAGAUAUCAGGAGGAACACCGGUGGCGAAGGCGGGUCUCUGGGCCGAUACUGACGCUGAGGAGCGAAAGCGUGGGGAGCGAACAGG
rnacentral:rRNA from 1 species